AGUUUGAUUCGAAAAAGCACUCUCUACACAAAGAUAUUCAAUGGCAAAAGCUUCACCACUUGUUUUUUGCUUAAUAGUUUUAUGCCUUGUAGCAUUUGAAACAGGUGUUGCAAAUGCAUGUUACUACCCGUGCCAUUCCAAGGAUUGUCAUAUUUUAACGUGCUACCCUCCUGGCUGUAUAAAAAAAUGCGAAAACUUUUGCUGUGUUUGCGAUUGUCGACCACCUCCUAGUGCAAAUGCUACUGCAAAUGUUUGAUGAAGAAUGGUAAUAAAAAUCAAGUUGAGGGCUUUCAUGCCUCAAAUUAGGAUGUACAAAAUUCCAUGACUGUUGUGGAAUUUUAUCUGUUAUAUGAGAGAAGUUGAAAUAAUAACAUUUUCGAUUCUUCAUCAACAA